UGAAGUAUAUCGCAAAUAGUACUUAACAUCCGCGAAAGGAUAUUUCUUUAAGACCUUACUUCAUAGGAUCAUUUCUAUAGUAAGCUCUUCACGCAACUUCUCACAAUACGUGGGAAAUUUCCAGCCAUGAUGAGGAGACGUGGCGCGGUAUCCUGAGCGUGAGGCGGGCAGUGACGUAUGUCAUUAGCCCUCGAUGAUCGUUCACUUUUCUGCUUGCGGAAAAGCGUGGGGUACUGUCGCUGUCUGAGUGGUUUUUUUAAAUAUAUA